ensembl:lncRNA GMDS-DT GMDS divergent transcript
GAGGAAGGAGGCCGCGGCUUCGCGUCCCGCCUCUCGCCUGGCUGGCCGUGGGGGGCCUGGACGCAGUGGCCUCCCGAAUCUCCCAGGACCCUAAUAUCGCCCGAGGAUGCUGGGAGGAACGCUGAGCCGACCUCUCCGUUAGGCUGAAGAUUGCACAAACCAUGCUAAUGGCCAGCAUGGAUGGAGGGAGCGUGUGAGAUGUGUGGGGCAGCGUGCUGCAUCUCAGCCAACUCCAGGAGGAAGCAUGCUCAUGGCAAUACCCGGAGUCUCCACUGCAAGACCAGAGUGACGGAGGCAGCAGAGCUCCUCAGCAGGCCAGGAGUCUCCAGAGGCACUGCCGAAUGUCUAAGAAGCAACCUCAUUGUAUUCCCAAGACCUGGGAAUCCAGGUCUCGCAGAUACGAUGAUACAAUCUAUAGCCAGGACAUCUCUUCAUGUGUAGGAUAAGCAACUAUCCCAGUCUUCCCAGGAUUGAGGGGCUUCUCCAGAUGCUGCACUUCUGGUGCUAAAAAUGAGAAACUGAAAUGAAUUAGUCACCCAAGGAAUGCUGACCCUGUGCUAUAUGAUCACAUUUACUCUUUAAAGCAAUGCUUUGAGAACAAUUGAGCUGCAUAGUCCCUGCAAUCUUAUAAAGGCAUUUGGCCUGGAAGAUGCUCUGCAGCCAUGUGCCAAGAAUAACGGCUAUAGGGACAAUGUUUCAUUAACCCCAAAGCAGCAACCUGAACCUCUUACUGUACAAUAUCUGCUCCGUUCAGAAUUAGCUCGACUUGAGUCACAGGAUGAAGCUUACCAAAAGGAAUUUCCACGUCCAAGGAAGGAACCAAGAUCACUGAGAGGUUAUAGUAUGAAAAGUGAAGAGAAAAAACCUAUUCUAAACAUUUUAUUAAUUGUCAAUAAUUAUUUUAAAAUAUUUAAUAUAGUCUCCUACCUGGUCCACUGGCAUCAAGCUGCCAAAUUUACACGGUCACUUUGGGAAGCCAGCUGGCAGGCAAACAUGGAAAGUGCUGGCUCCUAGCGUAGUGAGAAGACCACAGAUAGAUGGUAAUUUUCUUCUUUGUUUUAUUUUUCUUUUUCUUCUCUCCCUCUUUUUCUUCCCUCUUGCCUUUCCCUCCCAUUGCCCACUUUCUUUUUUUGGCUGCCGAAGAUUUAUUGCCUUUCAGUACUUAUAGAUGAUGUUUUCAUAAGUUCUAAUGAGGUCCCAGCAGUUUUUAACAAUAACAGGACAUUACUGUUCCUAAGAUAUAUUAUGUGUUUUCCCUCAUCUUUCUCCCUUGAAUGAAAUGCUUAGAAGUAGGCUAACCCCCAAUUCCCUUCCCUUUACUAUGAUAAAUGGCUCCAUUACUUAAUAGGGCUAAAUACUCUGCUGUGACUUUUAUACUGCUGAUUUGAAUAAAAUCUUAC